rnacentral:lncRNA from 1 species
ACGGAGGGCGCGCGGCCGCCACCGAGCCUCUGCGUGCUCCCGCGCACGCCAGGCCCAGACGCGCCGCCGGCCACGUGACCCGGCCCCGCCCCCUAACGGAAGUGGGUCGGAGUCCCGGGCCAGGAGAUCGCCAGGGCAGACUUCCGGCUCCACUGCGCGCAAGGACACGCUUAAGAUUCCAACAAACAAGCGAUUUCACCUUACAGAAGAAAACUCAUGCUGGCUGAUGCACGAGAGAAGCAAGAUUCUAAUGAACCUGUUCUUCAUCAGAGAAAAGUCAUAAACUCUGAACACAAGAAAAAAAAGUACCCUAACUGAAGAGUCUGGAGGUUGGGCAAAUCAAAUGAAAAUAAAAAUACCAAUCACAGUUCUAC